rnacentral:hammerhead_ribozyme from 1 species
AUCCAGCUAAAGGGUCCCGAAUAGGACGAAACCCACGUCCUGGAU